rnacentral:lncRNA from 1 species
CAGCAACCUUGCUGGGGAUGCCCCACGAUAGGGUUCAAACAGCACUCUAUUAGGGAUGCCCCACCGUAGGGCUAACAGAGACUUGGAGAAAAAUGUUGCACUGCCGGGAACAUGAAGAUGAACAACACCACGAUAGGGUUCAAACAGCACUCUAUUAGGGAUGCCCCACCGUAGGGCUAACAGAGACUUGGAGAAAAAUGUUGCACUGCCG